UCGCGAAAACUUGUCAAUGGGGGAAACCCCGAACAGGGGACGCCAAGUGCAUGCGUUUUACGUAUGCUUUUCGGCUGCCUAAAAAGCAGUCGGAAUAAGGGCUGGGUAAGACAGGUGCCAGCCGCCGCGGUAAUACCUGCAGCCCAAGUGGUAAUCGUUAUUAUUGAGCCUAAAGCGUCCGUAGCCGGUCUAGUAAAUCCUCGGGUAAAUCGAGCAGCUUAACUGUUCGAAUACCGGGGCGACUGCUAGACUUGGGACCGGGAGAGGUCAGAGGUACUUCAGGGGUAGGGGCUAAAUCCUGUAAUCCUUGAAGGACCACCAGUGGCGAAGGCGUCUGACUAGAACGGAUCCGACGGUAAGGGACGAAACCCUGGGUCGCAAACCGGAUUAGAUACCCGGGUAGUCCAGGGCGUAAACGCUGCAGGCUUGGUGUUGGGGACCCUACGAGGGUGCUCAGUGCCGGAGUGAAGAUGUUAAGCCUGCCGCUUGGGGAGUACGUCCGCAAGGAUGAAACUUAAAGGAAUUGGCGGGAGAGCACAGCAACGGGAGAGCGUGC
rnacentral:rRNA from 1 species